UACGUAGGGGGCUAGCGUUGUCCGGAAUCAUUGGGCGUAAAGCGCGUGUAGGCGGCCCGAUAAGUCCGCUGUGAAAGUCCAGGGCUCAACCCUGGGAUGCCGGUGGAUACUGUCGGGCUCGAGUCCGGAAGAGGCGAGUGGAAUUCCUGGUGUAGCGGUGAAAUGCGCAGAUAUCAGGAGGAACACCAAUGGCGAAGGCAGCUCGCUGGGACGUAACUGACGCUGAGGAGCGAAAGCGUGGGGAGCGAACAGG
rnacentral:rRNA from 1 species